rnacentral:lncRNA from 1 species
UGAAAUGCAGGAUAGAUUUCCUUUAAUGCCAUUUAUUUUAUUUUAUUUUAUUUUUUGAAACGGAGUUUGGCUCUUGUUGCCCAGACUGGCGUGCAAAGGUGCGAUCUUGGUUCACCGCAACCUCCGCCUCACGGGCUCAAGCAAUUCUCCUGCCUCAGCCUCCUGAUUAGCUGGGAUUACAGGCAUGUGCCACCACACUUGCCUAAUUUUGAACUUUUAGUAGAGAUGGGGUUUCUCCACGUUGGUCGGGCUGGUCUUGAACUCCAGACCUCAGGUGAUCUGCCUGCCUCGGCCUCCCAAAGUGCUGGGAUUACAGGCAUGAGCCACCGUGCCCAGCCUUUAAUGCCAUUUUUAAAAUGCCUUUCCCCAAAAUGAUUCCUCUUCAACUUACCUCUCUGCUUCAGAUGAGCCAAUUGUGAUUCAUUUGUUCAUUAAUUCAUCAGGUUUAAAAACAUGAACUAUGGGAUGCCUAUGGUAGCAUCGGGCAAGCUGAUGGUUACAGAGGGCAGUGGCCACCGUUCAGGGGACUGCAGCGUCCUGGGAGAGAGACUCGGGAAGACCAGGAGAUGGCGACGCAUGGGAAAGGCUCUGCUGGAGGAAAAUUCGUUUCCAAGACUCACACUAAGAGCCACAGACACCAGAGUGAAAGCCCAAGCCCUGAUUUGCCAAAGCCAGUUGAGACGUAGAAUAUUACCUUCUCCAAAUCAUUGGGAGCGCAGUCUUUCCUCGAAAGCAACCAAGAUUUUCAAGAAACCACUUUUUAUAAUUUGACUCUGACAUUGUAAAAUGGUUAUUUUUAAAGUAAAAUCAAUUUUUAGUGAGUAUUUGCGUUGCCAGACACAUCAGAUUGUUUCUUGGUUUUAGUUUCUUCUUCUUUUUAGUGUAUAAAAUGCAGGUUAAAUAGAUCUAAAGUAUGUGAAAUAUGAUGCUCACUAGCUGUUACAAAAUCCAAGUAUUAUUUUGUUUUAUUUUAUUACAGAGUGAAAAGGUAAGUUAAAAAUCUAGUUAAUGCCUGGCCUGAUUUGAUAUACUGAGAUAAUCCUUUUUUUUUUUUUUUUUUUUUUUUUUGCAAUAGGGCUGAUAUUAGAGGAAAUGAGCUUUAUGUAAUGCCUUUGGGGUAGAGGGCACUUACUGUGUAGAUAACUGUAACAGCUCACUAUUGCUGCAUAACAAGUAACCCCAAAACUCAGGGGCUUAAAAAACACAAACAUUGAUUCUUAUUCAUGAGUCUGCAAGUCAGCUGGGCAGUUCUGCUGAUCUAAGCCAAACUUUGCUGACCUUGGCCGGGCUCCCUCAGGCUUCUUUGAUUGGCAG